UACGUAGGGGGCAAGCGUUGUCCGGAAUUAUUGGGCGUAAAGAGCGCGUAGGCGGUCCGGUAAGUCGGUUGUGAAAGUCGGGGGCUCAACCCUCGGAUGCCGAUCGAUACUGUCGGGCUAGAGUCCGGAAGAGGCGAGUGGAAUUCCUGGUGUAGCGGUGAAAUGCGCAGAUAUCAGGAGGAACACCAAUGGCGAAGGCAGCUCUCUGGGACGGUACUGACGCUGAGACGCGAAAGCGUGGGGAGCGAACAGG
rnacentral:rRNA from 1 species